UACAAGUGACCCCGGUCUAACCACCGGGAUGUUCAUAACCCUUUGUUGUCCGACUCUGUUGCCUCCGGGGCGACCCUGCCUUCGGGCGGGGGCUCCGGGUGGACACUUCAAACUCUUGCGUAACUUUGCAGUCUGAGUAAACUUAAUUAAUAAAUUAAAACUUUUAACAACGGAUCUCUUGGUUCUGGCAUCGAUGAAGAACGCAGCGAAAUGCGAUAAGUAAUGUGAAUUGCAGAAUUCAGUGAAUCAUCGAAUCUUUGAACGCACAUUGCGCCCCCUGGUAUUCCGGGGGGCAUGCCUGUUCGAGCGUCAUUUCACCACUCAAGCCUCGCUUGGUAUUGGGCAACGCGGUCCGCCGCGUGCCUCAAAUCGACCGGCUGGGUCUUCUGUCCCCUAAGCGUUGUGGAAACUAUUCGCUAAAGGGUGUUCGGGAGGCUACGCCGUAAAACAACCCCAUUUCUAAGGUUGACCUCGGAUCAGGUAGGGAUACCCGCUGAACUUAAGCAUAUCAAUAAGCGGAGGAAAAGAAACCAACAGGGAUUGCUCUAGUAACGGCGAGUGAAGCAGCAAUAGCUCAAAUUUGAAAUCUGGCGUCUUCGACGUCCGAGUUGUAAUUUGUAGAGGAUGCUUCUGAGUAACCACCGACCUAAGUUCCUUGGAACAGGACGUCAUAGAGGGUGAGAAUCCCGUAUGCGGUCGGAAAGGUGCUCUAUACGUAGCUCCUUCGACGAGUCGAGUUGUUUGGGAAUGCAGCUCUAA
rnacentral:rRNA from 1 species